UUGGUGGGGAAGACAAGGGUCCCUGUCCAACGUUAAUCGGGGCAGGGUGAGUCGACCCCUAAGGCGAGGCCGAAAGGCGUAGUCGAUGGGAAACAGGUUAAUAUUCCUGUACUUGGUGUUACUGCGAAGGGGGGACGGAGAAGGCUAUGUUGGCCGGGCGACGGUUGUCCCGGUUUAAGCGUGUAGGCUGGUUUUCCAGGCAAAUCCGGAAAAUCAAGGCUGAGGCGUGAUGACGAGGCACUACGGUGCUGAAGCAACAAAUGCCCUGCUUCCAGGAAAAGCCUCUAAGCAUCAGGUAACAUCAAAUCGUACCCCAAACCGACACAGGUGGUCAGGUAGAGAAUACCAAGGCGCUUGAGAGAACUCGGGUGAAGGAACUAGGCAAAAUGGUGCCGUAACUUCGGGAGAAGGCACGCUGAUAUGUAGGUGAAGCGACUUGCUCGUGGAGCUGAAAUCAGUCGAAGAUACCAGCUGGCUGCAACUGUUUAUUAAAAACACAGCACUGUGCAAACACGAAAGUGGACGUAUACGGUGUGACGCCUCCCCGGUGCCGGAAGGUUAAUUGAUGGGGUUAGCCGCAAGGCGAAGCUCUUGAUCGAAGCCCCGGUAAACGGCGGCCGUAACAAUAACGGUCCUAAGGUAGCGAAAUUCCUUGUCGGGUAAGUUCCGACCUGCACGAAUGGCGUAAUGAUGGCCAGGCUGUCUCCACCCGAGACUCAGUGAAAUUGAACUCGCUGUGAAGAUGCAGUGUACCCGCGGCAAGACGGAAAGACCCCGUGAACCUUUACUAUAGCUUGACACUGAACAUUGAGCCUUGAUGUGUAGGAUAGGUGGGAGGCUUUGAAGUGUGGACGCCAGUCUGCAUGGAGGCGACCUUGAAAUACCACCCUUUAAUGUUUGAUGUUCUAACGUUGACCCGUAAUCCGGGUUGCGGACAGUGUCUGGUGGGUAGUUUGACUGGGGCGGUCUCCUCCUAAAGAGUAACGGAGGAGCACGAAGGUUGGCUAAUCCUGGUCGGACAUCAGGAGGUUAGUGCAAUGGCAUAAGCCAGCUUGACUGCGAGCGUGACGGCGCGAGCAGGUGCGAAAGCAGGUCAUAGUGAUCCGGUGGUUCUGAAUGGAAGGGCCAUCGCUCAACGGAUAAAAGGUACUCCGGGGAUAACAGGCUGAUACCGCCCAAGAGUUCAUAUCGACGGCGGUGUUUGGCACCUCGAUGUCGGCUCAUCACAUCCUGGGGCUGAAGUAGGUCCCAAGGGUAUGGCUGUUCGCCAUUUAAAGUGGUACGCGAGCUGGGUUUAGAACGUCGUGAGACAGUUCGGUCCCUAUCUGCCGUGGGCGCUGGAGAACUGAGGGGGGCUGCUCCUAGUACGAGAGGACCGGAGUGGACGCAUCACUGGUGUUCGGGUUGUCAUGCCAAUGGCACUGCCCGGUAGCUAAAUGCGGAAGAGAUAAGUGCUGAAAGCAUCUAAGCACGAAACUUGCCCCGAGAUGAGUUCUCCCUGACUCCUUGAGAGUCCUGAAGGAACGUUGAAGACGACGACGUUGAUAGGCCGGGUGUGUAAGCGCAGCGAUGCGUUGAGCUAACCGGUACUAAUGAACCGUGAGGCUUAACCUC
rnacentral:rRNA from 1 species